UACGGAGGGUGCGAGCGUUGUCCGGAAUCACUGGGCGUAAAGGGCGCGUAGGUGGCCCGUUAAGUGGCUGGUGAAAUCCCGGGGCUCAACUCCGGGGCUGCCGGUCAGACUGGCGAGCUAGAGCACGGUAGGGGCAGAUGGAAUUCCCGGUGUAGCGGUGGAAUGCGUAGAGAUCGGGAAGAAUACCAGUGGCGAAGGCGUUCUGCUGGGCCGUUGCUGACACUGGAGGCGCGACAGCGUGGGGAGCAAACAGG
rnacentral:rRNA from 1 species